rnacentral:rRNA from 1 species
GGGAUGGACAUACCUCUGGUGUACCAGUUGUCGUGCCAACGGCAUAGCUGGGUAGCUAUGUGUGGACGGGAUAAGUGCUGAAAGCAUCUAAGCAUGAAGCCCCCCUCAAGAUGAGAUUUCCCAACUUCGGUUAUAAGAUCCCUCAAAGAUGAUGAGGUUAAUAGGUUCGAGGUGGAAGCAUGGUGACAUGUGGAGCUGACGAAUACUAAUCGAUCGAAGACUUAAUCAAAUU